GACGAACGCUGGCGGCGUGCCUAACACAUGCAAGUCGAACGGAAAGGCCCUGCUUUUGUGUGGUUCUCGAGUGGCGAACGGGUGAGAAACACGUGAGUAUCCUGCCCUUGACUGUGGGAUAACUUCAGGCAACUGGGGCUAAUACCGGAUAGCUGCUGCUGCAGCAUGGGGGGGGUUGGAAAGUUUCGGCGGGUGGGGAUGGAUUCGCGGCUUAUCAGCUUGUUGGUGGAGGAGUCGCUUACCAACGCUUUGACGGGUGGCCUGCCCUGGAGCGUGACCGGCGACCUGGGGACUGAGGGACGGCGCAGACGCGUACAGGAGGCAGCAGUGGGGAAUAUUGCACAAUGGGCGGAAGCGUGAUGCAGAGGCGCUGCGUGCGGGAUGAAGGCCUACGGGGUGUAAACCGCUUUCGCCUGAGACGAAGCGUGAGUGACGGUAAUGGGUAAAGAAGCACCGGCUAACUACGUG
rnacentral:rRNA from 1 species